AACGCACAUUGCGCCUCCUGUAACAAGGAGGCAUGCCUGUCUGAGCGUCAUUUAAAUCAAUAAGCCUAUAUGGCUUGUUCUGGGCCUCGCCGUAGGGCGUCGCCUGAAAACGAUCGGUCUUAUGAGCGGACGAGUUCCAUUAGGGCGGACCGUUCUUAUGACUUUAAAUAUCUCUGACUUGACCUCAGAUCAGGUAGGACUACCGCCUGAACUUAA
rnacentral:misc_RNA from 1 species